GGAGAAGCUUCAAACGCACAGCGGCCUUGCUUUCCUUGCCUUUCAGAAUUACAUAUCUACAUGUGUCCUAAUCUAACUUCUAUGCCAUUGUUUCCUUCAAUCGAAACGUUGUAUUUGAAAGAAACCAGGUGGAAGCCAUUGAUCCAACCUACAAUAAAGAUGAAGAGUGCAACGUUAAAAUUAGCACCAUCUUCUUCUUGUUCAAUUUUUACUCCUUUUUGCAAAUUGGAAACUCUGUGGCUUAAAGACAUGGAAGAGCUAGAUUCUCUACCAGAUGAGUUUCUGCAAAACCUAACUUCACUUUGGGAUUUGAGGAUUGAAAGAUGUUUUAACUUGACUUCAAUGCCAGAAGGGAUGCAUUGCCUCACCUCUUUGAAACAUUUGAAAAUUUCUACUUGUCCGCAGUUA
rnacentral:lncRNA from 1 species